UAGUGCCUUACACUCCAGGAUGUCCAG
rnacentral:piRNA from 1 species